rnacentral:rRNA from 1 species
UACGGAGGGUGCGAGCGUUUGUCCGGAAUCACUGGGCGUAAAGGGCGCGUAGGUGGCACGGGUAGUCGUCGGUGAAAGCUCAGGGCUCAACCCUGAGUCGGCCGGUGAUACUCCCGAGCUCGAGUGUGGUAGAGGCCAAUGGAAUUCCGGGUGUAGCGGUGGAAUGCGUAGAGAUCCGGAGGAACACCUAUGGCGAAGGCAGCUCGCUGGGACGUUACUGACGCUGAGACGCGAAAGCGUGGGGAGGCAAACAGGA